rnacentral:lncRNA from 1 species
GCAGACUCUGCCUAUAGAGGCCUGGGGUCCCUUUGGCAGCACUUUUCUCAAGAAAGUAGAGUCGUGGACAACCAACUGCACAGGUUGGGAGGUGGCACUGUCUGGUGACAAGAACCCCAUGGGGUUGGAAACUUCUGCAUGUGAUAAAAGUGGCUGUUGUGCUCGUUGCGUCAUCUUUCUUGGCCUGAAGAAAGGCUUUGAAGAACAAGCUGCCAUGAAUCCUGCAGCUACAAGGAAAUGAACUCUAUUAACUUGAGUGAGCUUAAAACUAGAUCCUUCCCCAGUCAAGCCUCCAGGUGAGAAUUCAAUCCUGGCUGGCACCUGGAUUGCAGCUUACAGAAGACCCAGCUAAGGCCAUGUCUGGACUUUAAAUCCACAGGAACUGCAAGAUGGUAUCAGAAGUGGGACCUGCAGUGGGGCAUCUAGCAACCCCCAGGAGCAUUGAGUGACCAGGCUUGGGACCCACCGGGCGCAGGGUGUCCAUUGUUCUCUCGAAGCAACUGAGAAUUGUGGAUAUUCUUCAUUAUUCCAUCAUCAUCUCAAACCUCUUGGGUAUAGUGUUUGACUACUACUGUGACCAUAAAUUCCAAUAAAACCUAGGAAAAAUGAAACCACUACAUUAACUGAAAGGAUGUGCCUGUCACAGUCUCCACCAGAAGCUUUAUCUUACUACAGAGUCCAGAUGCAUUAAGGCUGUGUUCGAGCCAUGAUCUUCCUCUGAAGAAGAAAUGAAGAAGAAAUUUAUCUUAUUUUUGGAUAUAGUGUUCUUAGUUGGCAGUUUAAUUAUUAUUUUUACUUCAUCACUUUGUAUACGUCAUCGCACUUUCUCCUGGCCUAUAAGAUCUCUCCUGAGAAAUUUUACGUUCUACUUUACUGGAACUUCAUUAAAUAUUAUUUGCA